GCGUCAGGGCCCCCGAAGGCGCGUGCCAGCAGGCGGGUGGCGGUCCUUGGGCUCCCGGGCGGCACACCCACUUUCCUUAUUAGGACAGAGUCGGAGCUGUAGCUGCCGCGGGGCGUGGGCUGGGCAAGCGGCCCAGAGGAAGCAAGAAGGCUCAGUCCCGGCCGGCCCGCCUAGGGAGCGGCUGGUCCCUGCGCAGAGCGACCACUUUCUAGAGAUCCCGUUCAAGUCCCCGCAGCUCUCCUCUCUCGGCGCUCUCCAUCCGGACCCCUGGUCCCAGUCCCUAGCAGAGACAUGGAAGAAUUUUUGCAACGCGCCAAAUCUAAACUGGAUCGAAGUAAACAGUUGGAGCAGGUCCAUGCGGUUAUUGGACCUAAGUCAUGUGACCUGGAUUCUCUCAUUUCUACCUUCACAUAUGCAUAUUUUCUGGACAAGGUCAGUCCUCCUGGGGUCCUCUGCUUGCCAGUGCUGAAUAUCCCAAGAAGUGAAUUCAACUACUUCACAGAGACAAGGUCUAUUUUAGAAGAGCUGAACAUCUCUGACUCAUUCCACAUAUUCCGAGAUGAGAUUAACCUGCAGCGACUGAAUGAUGAAGGGAAGCUAUCAAUAACGCUCGUGGGCAGCCACGUCCUGGGGAGCGAGGACAGAACUUUGGAAUCCGCCGUUGUCAGAGUCAUUAACCCUGGAGAACAGAGUGAUGGUGAGCUGGGCUUUGCGGAGUCUUCCUCCUCACUAGUGCUGAAGGAGCUCCUGCGUGAGGCUCCGGAGCUCAUCACUCAGCAGCUGGCACAUCUCCUCAGAGGCAGCAUCCUGUUCAAAUGGAUGACCAUGGAUCCUGAGCUCCCAGAGAAGCAGGAGGAAAUUCUCUCCAUCCUGGAAGAACAGUUUCCCAACCUGCCUCCAAGGGACGAUGUCAUCAGUGUGCUGCAGGAGAGCCAGCUCAGUGCUCAGGGUUUAAGUCUUGAACAAACAAUGUUGAAAGAUCUAAAGGAGCUGUCAGACGGUGAAAUAAAAGUGGCCAUCAGCACCGUGAACAUGACCCUGGAGGACUGCCUGCUUCAUAGCAACAUCACCAGUGAUUUGAAAGCCUUCACAGACAAGUUUGGCUUUGAUGUCCUUAUCCUGAUCGCGAGCUACACAUCGGAGGAGCAGCAAAGGCAGCAGAUCGCUGUGUACUCCCAGAACCCGGAACUGUGCAGCCAGAUUUGCUGUGAGCUGGAAGAAAGUCACAACCCUUGUCUGGAACUGGAGCCCUUUGAAUGUGGCUGUGAUGAGAUACUGGUGUAUCAGCAGGAGGACCCUUCUGUGACCUGUGAUCAGGUGUUUCUUCUUCUCAAAGAGGUCAUAAAUAGGAGGUGUGCAGAGAUGGUCUCUAACAGUCGGACAUCCUCAACAGAAGCUGUGGCGGGCAGUGCGCCUCUGUCCCAGGGCUCUUCUGGGAUUAUGGAAUUGUAUGGUUCUGACAUAGAGCCACAGCCCAACUCUGUGAAUUUCAUAGAAAACCCUCCAGAGCUCAACGAUUCUAACCAAGCUCAGGUGGAUGUCAACAUAGACCUUGUUAGCCCUGACAGUGGGUUGGCCACUAUCAGAAGCAGUCGCUCAUCCAAGGAGAGCUCAGUCUUCCUCAGUGAUGACAGCCCAGUGGGAGAGGGUGGCGGGCCUCACCACAGCCUUCUCCCAGGAUUUGAAUCCUACAGCCCCAUUCCUGAAGGCAUAGUUGCAGAGGAGCAUGCACGCUCCGGGGAACAAAGUGAACAUUUUGACCUCUUCAACUUUGACCCAGCACCCAUAGCUUCUGAGCAGUCCCAGCCAUCUUCCCAUUCGGCAGACUACUCACCAGAUGACUUUCCCAACAGUGAUUCAUCAGAAGGAAACCUCUCUGCUGGGCCUAAGGGACUUGGUGAGAUGGGGAUCAACAUGUCCAAUUACUCCUCUAGUUCUCUUUUGUCAGAGGCUGGUAAAGACAGCCUUGUGGAAUUUGAUGAAGAGUUUGUCCAGAGACAAGAAAGCUCAGGCGAUAACUCUGAAAGAAAUUUAAGCCUGACAUGUUUUGUGGGAGAGGAACCUGCUUCCCCUGAAAGGCUGAAGAAUACUGGGAAAAGGAUCCCACCAACACCUAUGAACAGCUUUGUUGAAAUCUCACCAUCAACUGAAGAGCCAACUCCACUCUAUCCUGAGGAAAUAAUCCAAAAUACAAUUGAUGCAGGACAUCUGGGCCCACCUCAGACCCGUGCACGGUGCAGAAGUUGGUGGGGUGGCUUGGAAAUUGACUCUAAAAAUAUUGUAGAUGCAUGGAACUCCAGUGAACAAGAAUCUGUCUUCCAGAGCCCUGAACCAUGGAAAGAUCAUAAGCCUGAACCAGUUGAGAGGAGAACCUCAGAUUGCACAUUCCAACCAAAGAGUCUUGGAUUCCCAAACUCAGAUCCAUGGGAAUCUGAAUUUGGGCAGCCUGAACUGGGCAGCAAAGAUACCCAGGACCAGACGGAAGAAAGCUUGCAAUAUCAGCACUCGCCUACAGUGAGGCCACAUUUGACAGAUGCCUCUGCUCAAGGGACAAACCACCUGAUAGAGGACUUCGCUGCUUUGUGGCAUUCAGGACACUCACCCACAACAAUGCCUGAGCCCUGGGGAAACCCCACAGAUGCUGAUGAAGCUGCAGUUACGAUGUCCUUCCCCACCUGGGGUGCAUUUGAUAAAGAAGAUAAUGCAGACACAUUAAAAAAUACUUGGAAUCUUCAUCCCACUAACAAUGAGACUCCUUCUGUGCAGGACCCAAGUGGAUGGGCUAUGGCCCAAAGUGGGUUUUCUUUCCCUGCAGGAGACCUACUGGACAAUUCCCUCAUUGAGGUAAAUAAAGAUGCAGCUCCAGAGAUCUGGGGCAAGAAGAACAAUGACUCAAAGGAUAACAGUCUUACAUCUAGAAGUCCCAUUUCUGAUCUGGGUCAAACAUGGAAUAAUUCUAAGCUACCAGGGGAAGACCAGGAUGACUUGGUGGAUCCUAAAGCCAGAGGGAAGGUAUAUGAAAAGGAAGGGUCCUGGAACCUCUUUGAGGAGAGUAUUAAGAAAAGAGGAGCUGAUGUCUUAGCUCCUUGGGAAGAUUCCUUCUUGUCCUAUAAAUGCUCUGAUUACAGUGCGUCCAACAUAGGAGAAGAUUCAGUCCCAUCUCCCUUAGACACCAACUACUCCACUUCUGACUCUUACACAUCACCAACAUGUGCUGGAGAGGAAAAAGAAACGGAAAGCAAGCCAAUUGCUAAAGAUAAUGGUUUUGGGGCAAGAGAUGCUGAUUUUCCUGCAGAGGGCGUUGAGGUUCUUGCAACAUCACCACAGCAGCCUCAGAGAAAUCGAAUUGGUUCUGGUCCUGGGAACCUAGACAUGUGGGCAUUGCCUCAUGCAGAAGAUAAGCCUGAAGGAAAUGACACACAUCACCCAGAGAAAGAUUCACUCAAGAUAGAGCAUGCAGAAGAUAAAAAUGCUUCCCUGGAGGAUGACAUGGGAGAAAGCAGUCCAUCCAGUUACGAUGACCCUAGCAUGAUGCAACUAUACAAUGAGGCAAACCGGCAGCUCACCCUUCUACACAGCAACAACAACUCACGCCAGACAGCCCCUGACAGCCUUGACACAUGGAACCGAGUGAUUCUGGAGGACACGCAGUCCACUGCAACGAUCUCGGACAUGGAUAAUGACUUGGAUUGGGAUGACUGCAGUGGGGGUGUGGCGAUCGGUGGUGAUGGUCAAGCAGGAGGUUAUGUAGCUGCAAAUAGUGAACCUGAAACCCGGUUCUCAGUGAAGCAGCUGGAACCAUGGGGCACAGAGCAUCAGGAAGCAAAUCAGGUAGACUGGGAUCUCUCCGCCUCUGCUGAGGCCACAGGGGACACUGGUCCCAGUGAAUACCAUACUCUGAAUGUGAAAAGUGGGCAGUUAAUUGCCAACAGUAUUUGGGAUUCAGUCAUGGGAGAUAAAGACAUGCCAUCAUUCAGACUACCAAGCCCACCAAAUACUGUAGAUAUGGAACAUGGUGCUUGGCCUUCUGAAAGUUUCAGGCAUUCAAUAAAUGGGAAGGAUGGCCACAUGUCAGAAGCCUCUGGACUCAGUGAGUCAGAAGGGCUUACAUCUCAUCCUGACAACCAGGACACAUGGGCAGACUCCCUAGGUAACACAGCAUCCUCGGUGGCCAGGCUGACAAGUUCAGAACACUUUGCCCAGUCAGAUUCAUGGACAGGCCAUAUUUACGGGCAGAGUGAAAGUGAGAUUGAAAGCCUGACAGCCUCUGAUUGUGACCAUCUCGACAAGGAGACAGCCGAAGGCUCUGGAGUGAAUGGUGCCCCAUGGGUUUUUGGCAAAGAGCCCAUUGACCAGGAACUCUCUUCUUCAGAUGCAUUUGAACACCAAGAAAUUUGCAACGCAUCAGGCAAAGUCAGCUCUCUCUCAGUCACCUCCAGUCCUCAGAGUGAGGAGUCAGAGGAGGCCUUAGAAGUUGAGAAGGAGCCUUACACUCUAGACUCCCUUGCUGGACAAACAGAGACACCCACAAGUGAUUCUCAGACAAAAGACACCCAUGAAGAAUCUCUUAUGGAUAAUAGAAAUCUGGAGGAAGCCAACACGACAUUAGAUAGGAUUAAUCUAAUAAAAAAUAUGCCUUUAUCUGAAAUGGAAUUGGAGGAAACUGAAGCCUGCAACAUUCUGAGGCCAGAAAGAGAAAAUGGAAAACUAAUUUAUGAAUCGUCUCAAAACUUUGGUGUUUGGGAUGGCCCUACAGAUAGCGAUGUGUGGGACAGUCAUAUAAGUUAUGAGAUAGCUAUGAACCCUACAUGUCAGAGAACUGAGGAAAGGUCUCUGGAAGCCCUUUCACCAGGAAAUUAUGACAAAGACAGCCUCUCUAGUGAGUGCACUCGUUCCAGUGCAUCGAGUCCUGACCUAAAUGAUUCCUCAGUUGCUUUGUCCUCCUGGACCUACGGACCCAGUGCUGACCAUCAGAAUGAGAAUCAAGAUGAUAGAAACAAACAGAUUCACCAAGAACCAGAACUGUUUACCACUGAAGCCCAUGUGGGAGUCAUUACGGAAAUGAAGGACUUUGCAAAACCCAGGAAGGAUGAAUUUGGAAACAUGUCUGAUCAGGAGGACCCUCAAUUUCCAGCAAUCUCAAAUGAUCCCUUCAAUGGUGGUUCCUCAUCCUCUUCAUCCAGCCUUGGAACAGAUAAAUAUUCCGAAUAUUCUCAUGCAUAUCAGGAAGGAAAUCUAAUGACUAGAGGUCAAGAGGAAAAUGAACUUAACUCUCUGGAAAUUGCGGAGCCAGAGGGUUCCAGGAUCAUAUCCACAAGCUCAGGCUCUGGCCAUGACAGUGGGGGUGAGGAAGAGUUGCUCGAGAAAGAGCUACAUCUGGCCACAGUUGCUCAGCGUGAGUCUGAGGUUUGCAAUUCAUUGCCUGAUCCUGAGUUCUUGGUCACAGAGCAAUCCAAGCCUGAGCUUUCUGUCUUUGUGGGUAGUUCAGAGCCAAUAGAGAAUGAGAAUAAGUCAAGCCCAUUCUAUGACAGUCAACAAAGCAGCCCUGGUCAGUGGAUUUUGUCACCACUCGUGCAGGCUGACAUACAGGACACAUCUAAGGAGGAGGAGGCCAGAGGUGCAGACACGGGGACAGUGAUGGAUACCAUGUGGCAGGGAUCUGCCAGCACUGACCGUAAGAAUGGAGACCCUGACACAUUGGAAAUGCUUGGCUUCUCAACUGACAGCAGUGAGUGGUGGAAUCCUGCUGCACGGGAUGGGAAAGCAACUGCCAGUGUGUCCGCAGAGGAGUUGUCUAACUCAGAGGGUGAGUUAGAGACGACUUCUCCAAUAUUCCAGAAUGCAGGUCCGUGGAGCGUGCCCGUUCAGGAUGAUAGUAAACCUGUGGACACGGGCAGCACUAAUCCUUUCAGUGGUGAACUAAAGUCACCCUUUCUAGAUAGUGAUGGGGACAAGUCACAGGAGAAACUUUGGAACAUUCAACCGAAGCAACUGGAUUCAGAUGCCAAUCAAUUCAGUCAGCUUGUAAUCCUGGACCAAAUUAAGGACAAAGAUUCUGGACAGCAAACAGCCAUGUCUUCUACUGCUGGUGACCUUCCUUCAGAAACUCUCGCCCAAGAGCAGUGUCAGGAAUCUAUGCUGUCGGUCUGGGAUCAUGCAGGGCCAGCCUUGACUCACAGAGAUGAAAAUGGAUGUGUUAGCGCUGGCAUUUCACCCACUGAGUGCCAACAAGAGAACGGGUGGGAACCAGAAAAAUCCUAUCUCAGCCAUGUGACACAUUCAAGAACUCCCACGGAAAAUCUCGACAAGAUCAAUGCUCCCACACAACUGAUAAGGAAGCCGGACUCUGACUGGGAUAGCCCCAGCCCCAGUGAGCACCAGCAUAACUUUGUUCCAGAUAUUUUACAUGGCAACUUCGAAGAGGGCGGGCAGCUGGCUUCAGCUUCACCUGAUUUGUGGAUGGAUGUCAAGCAGCCUUUCACUUUUAGAGCAGAUGGUGAGAAUCCUGAUAUAUUGACUCACUGUGACCAGGACAGCAACUCUCAGACAUCCAGCAGCCCUGACGUGUGUCACGAUUCUGAAGGAAAGCAAGAGAUGGAGACACAUACUGGUGUUUAUCUGGGACCUGAAGUGGAACCCAGUGAGUUUUAUCUCACUGAGCCAAACAUGGAUGAUGAACCGACUCGGGAACCGGAGCAAGAAUGUCUCCCAUGCAAUUCAGAACUCUACUCAGAAGAUGCAAUGCCCUUGCCUCCGAUCAACAGUCAGAAAGACACAGACAACUUAUCUAAGCCUGCCUCUUCAAAAAGUUCCCCAGAUCCCUCUGAUAUGCAUGGAGACAUCAGUACAAGUAUAACAGCAUUGGACGAAGGCGCCAACCCAGAGGUAGAAGAAGCAGUGGACAGGACGAUCCCAGGCACCAGAAGUGAAGAUGCUGACACUUUUGAAACUCACCAGGAGGUCGGUGAAGAAGGCUCUUGGAUAUCGAAAGACCUUUGUCCUGAAAACCAGACAGGCACCAGAGCUCAGCUUGACCGUGAGCAACCUUUUGCUUCGGAGAGCCCUGCUGUACUUACUGACAUCUUCCUAGCCUCUGAUACCUGCCUGGAUGUAAGUGAAGCUGCCUUGGACCACAGUUUCAGUGAUGCGUCGGGCAUCAACACUUCCACGGGCACUAUAGACGAUAUGAGUAAGUUGACUCUAUCGGAAGGCCACCCUGAAACACCAGUUGAUGGGGACGCGGGGAAGCAUGAUAUCUGUUCGUCUGAAGCUUCCUGGGGUGAUUUCGAAUAUGAUGCAAUGGGCCAGAAUAUUGAUGAAGAGCUGAUGAGAGAACCUGAACACUUCCUCUAUGGUAGUGAUCUUCCGUCCGAGGAAGGCACGACGAAGCAAUCACUGGCACCAUACACACCCCCCUUUGACUUGUCCUACCUCACGGAACCCAGUGGCUACGCGGAAAGCACACAGGGAGCCGAGUCCCCAGACGACGCAUCUCUGGGAAGUGAUGCAGCAGAGAUGCUGCUUUCUGCUCUCCCUGAUCAAAGGAAGGAAGACAAGGCUGAGACCAACAUCAGGAAACCUGGAUACCAGAUGACUGUGUUGCAUAUUCAUGAAGACCCCGAGGCUCUUUCUUCACCUGUAGGAGGAACGGGUUCCAAUAAAGAGUCCUCUCCAUCAAACAUUGACUGGGAAAUAGAAACAGAUAAUUCAGAGUCACCAGUAGGUGGCGACAUGAAACCACCGAACGGCAAGGAGAUAUUGGAGUUCGAAGAUGAGAAAGUAGUUCCCACGAAAGGGCCAGAGCAAACAAAAUUAGAAUACAAGGAAGAAAAACAGGCAGGGAAAAGUGAAGACCACCAGGUACUGGCUGUAGAUUACAUACUUGUAAACCAUGAAAACGAUUCACCACUGAAGCCAGAGGCCAGGGAAGCAAGAGAAAACAGAGCCGAAUCGGAGCAAUUCUCCAUAGGUUCCGAAGAAAGGGAGCUACCAGAAACUCAGCAAGCAGGCAUCCCAGACACGUGUCAGCCUGAGUCGUUAAAUGAUGUCAAAGUUCAUUCUGCAGAGAGAAUGUCUUCCAACCACAAGAACACAUCUCUUGAAAACCCUGUACAAGACCAGAGUUGGAUGGUCUUGAGCCAUAGUGAGGUUGGUGAUCCACCUGCAGAAACCAGGGACUCGGGAGCUGGGUCUCCGGGUAGAACUGUGGAGCCAUUCUUGAGUCUCAGUUUGGACAAGGGCCCCCAGUCCCAGGUUCUGGAAAGAAAAAAGCCUCUAGAUUCUUUGGCACUAGGGGAAGUUGCUGCUUUGAGCAGCCAAUCAAGGAAGAGCAAGAGACAAGGUCAAGCUGGUCUAGAUGCAGUUCCAACCCAGGCUGCCACCCAUGACAAUGAAUGGGAAAUGCUUUCGCCACAGUUCUCCCAGAAAAACAGGAACCCUCCACAGGAAAUGCAAGAAGAGACACGGGUCCCCGAGCCUGGACCCAGAAAGCCAAGACCAAAAGGACCCCCAUCAGAGGAUGAAGGAAUGGAUAUCCACUUCGAGGAGGGAGUGUUGAGUCCCAGUGCCACAGACAUGAGGCCGGAACCUCCCAAUUCUCUGGAUCUCAAUGGCAGUCACCCUAGAAGAAUCAAGCUCACAGCCCCAAAUAUCAACCUCUCUCUGGACCAAAGUGAAGGAUCUAUUCUCUCUGAUGAUAACCUAGACAGUCCAGAUGAGAUUGACAUCAACGUGGAUGAACUCGAUACCCCUGAUGAAGCAGAUUCUUUUGAAUACCCUGGCCAUGAAGAUCCCAUGGCCAACAGAAGCUCUGGUCAAGAGUCAGAGUCUAUUCCAGAGUAUACGGCUGAAGAAGAGCGAGAAGACAACCGGCUAUGGAGGACGGUGGUAAUUGGAGAGCAGGAGCAGCGGAUUGACAUGAAGGUCAUCGAACCCUAUAGGAGAGUCAUUUCUCAUGGAGGAUACUAUGGGGACGGUCUGAAUGCCAUCAUUGUGUUUGCUGCCUGCUUUCUGCCAGACAGCAGCCGGGCGGAUUACCACUAUGUCAUGGAAAACCUUUUCCUAUAUGUAAUAAGUACCUUAGAGCUGAUGGUAGCAGAAGACUACAUGAUUGUGUAUUUAAAUGGAGCAACCCCAAGGCGGAAGAUGCCAGGGCUAGGCUGGAUGAAGAAAUGCUACCAGAUGAUUGACAGACGGUUGCGCAAGAAUUUGAAGUCAUUCAUCAUUGUCCACCCGUCUUGGUUCAUCAGAACAAUCCUUGCAGUGACUCGGCCUUUUAUAAGCUCAAAAUUCAGCAGUAAAAUUAAAUAUGUGUCUAGUUUAUCCGAGCUCAGUGGGUUGAUCCCCAUGGACUGCAUCCACAUUCCAGAGAGCAUCAUCAACCAUUGAGUCUCUGGCCAAGGUGCUAUCGAGUAGCCUGCUGACCUGCAGGCCAAGGGAGAGAGGAGAUGAAUCGGCAAGCUAAUGCACCAGCUGGAGACUGGGAUGCUUUUCCAGGGACCAGCUGCCUUUCCAAAGCAGACCAGCAUUGGGUUCAAGGUGCCGGCUUUAAGAAAAACAGAAAAAUCCAAGCCUGGUGGUUCACACCAUUAAUCCCAGCACUUGGGAAGCAGAAACAGGAGAACAAAGAGGACUGCCGUUAAAUAGCAACUGCAUAUAGGAAGAAGAAAGCACCCUAAUCGUGCUGUCCCAGAGGCUUGUGUCAGCUCCUACUGCUUCACGGUGUGGAACUGAGCCUUCAUUUCCUUCAAUCCACAGAUGGUAUCAGCGGCGGGAGGAGUAUAUGGUGAGAUCAUGGCUGUGUGUCCAUCUUCCCCCGACUGACUGCUCAGCCACCAACCAAUAUAGCCAGUUCUGCAUCGUGGUGCUUGAAAGAGGACUGCAAAAUGCAGCCCCGAGAAUGUGUCAUCCAAGUCGUCCAAGGCUCAGGCUGCCCAGCCAUGAAGGACUGUCUUUGCUGGCCCUCUGGACUGACUUCUCAGGCCCCGUUUGGUAAAUACUUGUGGUGAUGCUAAGACGGGGCCCUUCAGAGUUCUCACUGGAUGAACAUCCUUUAUAUACCUGAUGAUGGAGUCGCCAGAAAGGGAGAGGCUACCAUCACAAAAACGUUUACUAGACUGGGAAAAGAAGGAGGCAUGGGGCAAGAAUUAUGUAUGCAUGGGUAUGCAUCUCCCAUGGGGAAAUCCCUAUUGUGUAUAGUUUUGUUGAAAUUUUUUAAUUUUGUAAUUUUUUAACUUGUGUAAAAUCCUUUUAGUAAAAGCAGAUAUAUAUAUAUAUACACAUACCUGAAUGUGCUAUGGUUGGGUCUCUGAAGAAAACUCUGAAAUCUCUACAUAAGUAUCAUAGGCACUACUUUGGGUCUAGAACUAUAUAUAUAUUUAGUAUUUUCUAGUUUACGAUUGGCUUUAUGGAACAUAAGUACUAAAGAUAACUGUAAGAUAUAAUUACCAGGAAGAUGAAGUAAUCAGUGUAUCCAGUGUUCAAUGACAAAUAUUGUCACCCUGCCAGGCUAAGACACUGGUGACAGCCUGGACACCUGAGUCCUUACCAACCAACCUCUUCAUCUCAUUCUGAAACAUUUGAGGAUUCGAUUUAAUUUGUUUCCACGCUGUCUUAAGGUUUCUAUUGCUGCAACAAAAUGCCAGGGCUAUAAAGCAAGCUGAGGAGGAGAGGGUUCAUUGGGUUUACACUACACAUUGCUGAUCAUCAUUGAAGAAAGUCAGGAUAGGAACUCAAACAGGGCAGGAGCCUGGAGGUAGGAGCUGCUGCAUAGUCAUGGGGCAGUGCUGCUUACUGGCUUACUCUCAUGAUUGACGUGCUCAGCCUGCUUUCUCAUAGAACCCAGAACCACUAGCCCAGGGAUGGCACCUCCCACAACAGGCUAGGCCCGUCCACAUUAAAACAAUAAUUAAGAAAACACCCUACAGAGAGAUCUAAUGGAGGCGUUUCCUCAGUUGAGGUUCUCUCCUUUCAGAUAACCCCAGUUGGUGUGUCAAACAGACAUAAAGUUAGCCAGCAUAUGCACAUUUCAAAAGCUUGUCAUAUUUUCAAUCAGUAUCAUUUUCUUCCCUUCUCUUCCAUGCCUGUUGGAGCUGGAAGCUGAAAGAUCACAUCUUCAGCCAUAGUCACAAAGCAGAGUUUAAAGUGGCCGUGCCAUGGCGCUAUGAACUCUCAAGGCCCACCUCGGUGACAUACUUCCCCCAGCAAGGACUGCCCUUCCCAAGCAUUGCUAUCAAGUGGGGACCACGUGUUCAAAUAUCUGAAAUUCCCAAUGGAGGAGAAUGCAAUCGUGUCCUACCAAAGCAAGUUUAACAUGGAUUCUAUGUCUUGCACUCAGGCUUUCAUGUUUGCAUGACAAGCACUGUACUGACUGAGUUAUUUCCCACUCACUUUUAGCUAAUUCUGGCAAAUACCAGGGGCCAUGAUUGCUGGGUGGCACUGUCAGACUAUGCUUGGCCGUGCCAUUUUGAAUUUCUACUGGCAGUCAAUGACCGGUUCUGCUGGAACCAUCUCUUCACUAACAUUUGUAUUGCCCGGGUCCUGGACUCUGGACUUUCUAACAGGUUUGCCUUGGUAUUUUACUGUUGUUUACAUGUAAACACAUUUCCUAUGAUUAUUUACCAGUUAUAUAAUGUUACAUGAACAUGUCUUGAAAUAUCAAUUUGGGUCUUUUGCUCAUUUUACAAGUUUAAGUUCUUAAUUUUUCUUAUCAUCAAGGUUUUGGUAUUUGUUGUUCAUUUUACUUGACAAUCCUUUAUCAGGUGUGAAUCUGCAAGCUGUGACUGUAUUUUAGCACAAAUGCAUAGUAAAAUAUCACAUUAAUAUAUGGAGGCUGGAUGAUGCUCUGUAAAGACAUUUAAUAAAAUAUUGCACAAAGUAAAAAAUUUAAAUCAAUGGCUAAUUUUGUUCAUUGGGGCAGGGCUAUGUCACCUUCAGUUUUGUGUUUCCAGGGCUAGCAUGGGGCAAGAUAGACAGUAAGUGUUCACCAAACACCUGCACAGUAAUAAACACCUGCACAGUAAUAAAGUAAAUUGGUUUGCUCACUCUUGAGUAAUUUCUCUUAUUGGAGAAAAAAAUCUCAGUUUAAUUUUUUUCCAAAUAGAAUUUGUAACAGAUGAGAAAAACAUGCAGAAUUUCUAAUAACCUUGUAAUGCUUAGCUAAAUUAAGCUUUUUUUAUAAUUUUCUAGUUGAAACGAAACCUCCCUGGAUAAUCAAUGCUGCAUCUGAAUUAGAAUACUUGGCAUUUUUAUUCUAUGUCCACAAAUAGUUUUGUUGAGAUUUGUUCUUUAGCAAUCUAGCUAAUGCAUGUGACUGCAUUAACUUGAGAGCAAGAAAAUAAUGUGUGUCCCAGACAGGAUAGGUUCAUUUUGUUUACUGGAAGAGAAGUGGGGAAUUGACAGUGACCUUUGUGAGCUCCUGUUGUAUGUUUCCCAGGUUGUACGUAGAAAUGUCACUGAGAAGCUCACUGCUAAGGUCACGGUCACAGUACACCUGCUUCCUACAAUGCUGGAAUCCAGUUUGUAGGAGGUUCAAAAGAGGGCAUAGGAAUGGAUAAUGAGAAUAGAGGAGCUGCUGUGUACAUGUCCAAAUUUGAUUUUCAAAGCAGCAUGUCUUAGAUUAGAGAUCAAAUAAGCUACUGUGACAGGAUCGAGAGAACUCUUUUCCAGGAAUCUUUCCAUGGACCUGCUUCUUGAUAGGUGAGCUAUAGAGGCAUCAUGAUUCAUGGCUACUUUACCACUUAAAAAAUAUCUGAGUCGUAUCACCAUACUCUCAGCUACUUUAUUGGGUUCCUAUAUCUACCACCUAUCUCUACGCCAAUCUCUUCCAAGCCCCCAACACUAGGUAGGUGAGAAAGAAGGUUAGAGGGGGAAAGAAGCAUAGAUCUCUUUAGACUACUUCCUGAUGAUUAGGAGGGUUGAGUUCCUAGGAGCAAGUUCAAUCUUCAUUGUCAGGGUAUCUCCAACCAGCAAUUCACCAAAACAGCAAAAGCAGCAAAAUUACAUACAACAGCAGGAACCAGCAGCCAGGAGAACAGCUGCAGCCUCUCUAUGGACUUUUUAUACCUUCUCAAGAAUCCCCAGAAUUCCAAACUAUCUUCAGCUUGCAGAAUCAUGCCCCUGACAGAGCAUGCGACAAAUUACAAUCAGCUACUGCGGACAAUCUGAAGCAGCUCCCUAUUCCAUGCCUGGGAUUAAGCAAAAACAUAUUCACAUAAUGUAACUGGGCUUUUUUUUUUUUUUUAAAGAAACCAAAAGUCUCACUACAGAGAAGACUGCUGAAUUUACCUGCCAAAGACCAACCUUGGCUUGGUUAGGGGUCCUGAGGAAGGGUUGUUUAGAAACGACAAAAAGAGCAAAAGAAUGACUCAAAGUCAAAUGAUAAGGUGUAGUCUGCUCGAGAUAGCUGCCUACAUAGCUUCUCUGUAGAUAGCUCUUGGCUGGUAGUCUGCUCUAGAUAGCUUUCUGCUUGAGACAGUUCCUUGCUUGAGACAGCUUUCUGCUAGAAAUAGUUCUGUCUUGCUAGAAAAAAUUCUAAAAGCUCUCUGGAUAGCUCAUGGGUCUUCAAAAAAGUUGCUAUAAAAAUAUUUUGGAAUUUGUAGGAAAAAAUUAAAAAAAAAAAGAGUUGUGUUUACCCUCCAAGUUCUCUCUGGGUAGCUGCUAUAAAAAAUUCUAAAGAGUUGUAUUCACUCUUUAGAGAUCUCAUCAUAAUAGCCCAUUAUAUAAUUCACAUUGUAUCCCUAUAAUUUGCAUAGUUGAGAAACUAUACAUUAUUAAACUCGUGUUUUCAGAGUUCUUUCUAACAGCCUUAAAGGCUGUCCUGAAGGUCUUAGCAUUUGUCAUUUUUCUAAGGACAUUAGACAUACUCUUGCCUCCAGGACUCAUGCUGUCUAAUUAUCAAGAGUCAUUAAACUUGGCAAAUUGCCCCCCCAUAACAUUGGCAGGGAGAAUAUUUCCCGAACGAUGAACAUCAACUAAAUUAUGUACAUUAUUAUACAAACAAAUCCCUCCCACAUCCAUAGCAACCAUCAGCAC